AUACUUACCUGGCAGGGGAGAAACAAUGAUCAUGAAGGUUGUGCUCCCAGGAUGAGGCUAUCCCAUUGCACUCUGGGUGUGCUCACACCUGUGAUGUCCCCACAUGCGGGAUACUCGACUGCAAAAUCUGUGGUAGUUGGGGACUGCGUUCACGCUGUCCCCUG